rnacentral:rRNA from 1 species
AUUGAACGCUGGCGGCAGGCCUAACACAUGCAAGUCGAACGAGUGGCGGACGGGUGCGUUAUGUCUGGGAAACUGCCUGAUGGAGGGGGAUAACUACUGGAAACGGUAGCUACUACCGCAUACCCUCAGAUGUGCCUAGAUGGGAUUAGCUAGUUGGUGGGGUAACGGCUCACCAAGGCGACGAUCCCUUGCUGGUCUGAGAGGAUGCCCGGCCACACUGGAACUGAGACACGGUCCAGACGCCUACGAGAGGCAGCAGUGGGGAAUAUUGCACAAUGGGCGCAAGCCGGAUGCAGCCAUACCGCGUGUAUGAAGAAGGCCUUCGGGUGGUAAAGUACUUUCAGCGGGGAGGCGUUACCCGCAGAAGAAAGACCGGCUAACUCCGUGCCAGCAACCGCGGUAAUUC